GGAAGAGCGUCAUCCCCGGUGGGGUGCCCGGACUUCAAACCCGGUGAGAUCCGACACAAACGGGUCUGGUGGGUUCGACUCCUGCCUCUUCCGCCA
rnacentral:tRNA from 1 species